AACUGCGAAGGCUCCAUAAAUCAGUCAUUAAUUUAUUGAUAGUUCCUUUGCCUGGAUAACCGUGUAAUUCAGAGCUAAUCCAGCUAAAAACCUCGACUUCGGAAGGGGUGUAUUUAUUAGAUAAAAAAACCAAUGCCCUUCGGGGCUCCUAGGUGAUUCAUAAUAACUUAACGAAUCGCAUGGCCUUGCGCCGGCGAUGGUUCAUUCAAAUUUCUGCCCUAUCAACUUUCGAUGGUAGAAUAGUGGUCUACCAUGGUUUCAACGGGUAACGGGGAAUUAGGGUUCUAUUCCGGAGAGGGAGCCUGAGAAACGGCUACCACAUCCAAGGAAGGCAGCAGGCGCGCAAAUUACCCAAUCCCGAUACGGGGAGGUAGUGACAAUAAAUACUGAUACAGGGCUCUUUCGGGUCUUGUAAUUGGAAUGAGUACAAUCUAAAUCCCUUAACGAGGAACAAUUGGAGGGCAAGUCUGGUGCCAGCAGCCGCGGUAAUUCCAGCUCCAAUAGCGUAUAUUAAAGUUGUUGCAGUUAAAAAGCUCGUAGUUGAACCUUGGGCCUGACCGAUCUGUCCUCCUAAUCGAGCGCACGGAUUCGGUUGGGCCUUUCCUUCUGGGGAGCCCUAUGCCCUUCACUGGGCGUAGUGGGGAACCAGGACUUUUACCUUGAAAAAAUUAGAGUGUUCAAAGCAGGCAUUUGCUCGAAUACAUUAGCAUGGAAUAAUAGAAUAGGACAUCGGUUCUAUUUUGUUGGUUUCUAGGACCGCUGUAAUGAUUAAUAGGGGAUAGUCGGGGGCGUCAGUAUUCAAUUGUCAGAGGUGAAAUUCUUGGAUUUAUUGAAGACUAACUAUUGCGAAAGCAUUCGCCAAGGAUGUUUUCAUUAAUCAGUGAACGAAAGUUAGGGGGAUCGAGGACGAUCAGAUACCGUCGUAUUCUUAACCAUAAACUAUGGCGACUAGGGGAUCGAACGGAGGUUUUUAUGCCUCGUUCGGCACCUUUACCAGCAAAUCAAAGUUUUUGAGCUCCUGGUGUGGAGUCAUGGGUGGCA
rnacentral:rRNA from 1 species